rnacentral:rRNA from 1 species
UACGUAGGGUCCGAGCGUUGUCCGGAAUUAUUGGGCGUAAAGAGCUCGUAGGCGGUUUGUCGCGUCUGCUGUGAAAUCCCGAGGCUCAACCUCGGGCCUGCAGUGGGUACGGGCAGACUGGAGUGCGGUAGGGGAGAAUGGAAUUCCUGGUGUAGCGGUGGAAUGCGCAGAUAUCAGGAGGAACACCGAUGGCGAAGGCAGCUCGCUGGGACGUUACUGACGCUGAGACGCGAAAGCGUGGGGAGCAAACAGG